rnacentral:rRNA from 1 species
UACGUAGGCAGCAAGCGUUGUUCGGAGUUACUGGGCGUAAAGAGUGCGUAGGUGGUGCCCUAAGUCUGUUGUGAAAUCUCCCGGCUUAACUGGGAGGGUGCGCCGGAAACUGGAGUGCUCGAGCGUGGGAGAGGAAAGCGGAAUUCCUGGUGUAGCGGUGAAAUGCGUAGAUAUCAGGAGGAACACCUGCGGUGUAGACGGCUUUCUGGACCAUUGCUGACGCUGAGACACGAAAGCGUGGGUAGCAAACAGG